GAUGAACGCUGGCGGCGUGCCUAAUACAUGCAAGUCGAACGAAACUUCUUUAUCACCGAGUGCUUGCACUCACCGAUAAAGAGUUGAGUGGCGAACGGGUGAGUAGCACGUGGGCAACCUGCCCAAAAGAGGGGGAUAACACUUGGAAACAGGUGCUAAUACCGCAUAACCAUAGUUACCGCAUGGUAACUAUGUAAAAGGUGGCUAUACUACCGCUUUUGGAUGGGCCCGCGGCGCAUUAGCUAGUUGGUAGGGUAAAGGCUUACCAAGGCAAUGAUGCGUAGCCGAAUUGAGAGGUUGAUCGGCCACAUUGGGACUGAGACACGGCCCAAACUCCUACGGGAGGCAGCAGUAGGGAAUCUUCCACAAUGGGCGAAAGCCUGAUGGAGCAACGCCGCGUGGGUGAAGAAGGUCUUCGGAUCGUAAAACCCUGUUGUUAGAGAAGAAAGUGCGUGAGAGUAACUGUUCACGUUUCGACGGUAUCUAACCAGAAAGCCACGGCUAACUACGUG
rnacentral:rRNA from 1 species